CUUAUUCUAAAGAAACAAGAAAGGCAUCUUUAUUUUGAAUUUGAAGGAACCGACACACUCACUCACUCUCUCUCUCUCUCUAAACCCUAAUCUCUCUCAACCGAUCGAAUCAACAAUGAUUCAUCUCAGUGAUUUCGAUUCAUGUCAGAGAGGGGGCGAGAGAUUCAUUUCAGAGCAAUUUCGAUUUUGAUUUUGAAGUUCUCUCUCAAUUUCAAAGUUCUGGCUCUCUCGGUUUCGAAGCUUCAUUGCCACUACCGUCUGCACCGGCGAGAGUGAGCACCAUCGUCUACUAAGGUACAAUGUUGAUUUGGUUGUGUAGAUAAGGAUCAAAAAUUGGAAUUAGAACGCCUUAGAGAGAAGGCAGUUGAAGAGACUAUCAUCGGAGAAAUACUGUUCUAGAAAGUUAAUCCUCCACAUUGUUGAUAAGAAACAUUUUCUAACAGCACUGUUGGGUGCUAUUAGUUUUAUUGGACUGAGAAUAUAGACAGUUACUUGGCAAUCCCCAUGUAAGUUAUGUGAAGAAAAAGAGUUCUUUGGAUAUCCCAGACUUCCCUGUUUCAAAAUGCCACAUGCUAUUUUCUUUGCCUAUAUACCUGAGCAGCUAUGCCAUAGUGCAAAUGGUGCAAUGUGGUGACGUGGAACUUGAAAAGAAAAUUGAUGAGAAGAUUGGCCAGUUCAUCGAUAGAGUAGAGAAACACCCAAGCAAGAGAAAUCAGGUUUUUUGUUUACCACUGGAUUGAAAUUAGCAAAUCAUUUUGGUUAUGCAUGAUGUACAUGUAAAAAGUUUAUAUGGCUUAUGGAUGACUGUGAAGCUGAUUCCCAUGACUUGAAUCCUUGUCACAACAUUGGGGGCGGACACCCUCUAUAUUAAUCCAUUAGGGGAAAUAAUUGUUAAUUCUAAAGUUACAUUUUUGUGUGCAAAGCUUCGAUUCAUUGCCUUCUGUGGUGUCAGAUACCUUUUAUCAAUCUUAAAUCCAGACAACCUUGUUAGUAUCAUAGUAAUGCAUGCUGGCCAUGGGAUGGUGAAAUUUGUUGUCUUGUCACUCAUGGAACUUGAGAACCAAGCAAAGGAAAAUCCCUUGUUCUACUGAAACAUAAAUGUCUUAUAACUUCGUAAUUUGAUGUCAAUUUACUCAUACUUGUUGCCAUAAUAUCAACUCUUAAUUCGAAUCAACUGGCCGGUAUUUGUAUUUUUUUUCUGUGCAAUUCUCUCUGUUUAGGACUAGAGCUUGCAUUCUGAAGAUGUUAUUGUCAUUUUUAAUAAUGAUUCAUUUAAAUUAAGUGAUAGGUUGCCACUUGAAGCAUUUAUUGAGUGCACAAUAGACUUAAACCAUUUUGUCCAAACUGGGAAAGGAUGUUUUGCCUUUAAUACUCUUACUAGUUUUCUACAAAACUGAUCUUUUUUCAAGUUUGAGAUGCUUAUCUGGAAUGUGAAGCUUGUUGUUGAUGUUGACCAUUCAUUAUUUUGUUAGUGACAAGUGCUUGAUUAUGACCAUAGUACCUCUUGUGUUAUAGGGAAGCCACAAGAUUACUUAUACAUUUAUUCACAACAGACUGAUAAAGCCAGUGAUCCUCUGAAAAUCAAAUUGGAAGCAGAGAAAAGAAAAGACAUAGUAUGCAUCUCUGUCGUAAAUGGUGAUGGAUUAGAUGAAUUCUGCAGUGCAGUUCAGGAAAAACUUAAGUUAGUUGAUGUCAAUUUUUUCAGUGUCCUUCAAAAUAGUUGUUUCUGUUGGUUUGUCUUUGACAUGUGUUGUUGUAUGGAAACUCUGUAAAUUAGGAAUUUGAUGCAGGAUUCAUUCCAAUGAUUGGUAAAACUGUAUUUGCAACGCACAUGUAUUGCUUUUGGUAUAUGCUUUACUAUAUCUCUAUUUUUGGGAGU